UACGGAGGGUGCAAACGUUGCUCGGAAUUAUUGGGCGUAAAGCGCACGUAGGCGGUUCGUUAUGUCGGAUGUGAAAGCCCUCGGCUUAACCGAGGAAGUGCAUCCGAAACUGGCGAGCUUGAGUACGGAAGAGGGUCUCGGAAUUCCCGGUGUAGAGGUGAAAUUCGUAGAUAUCGGGAGGAACAUCAGUGGCGAAGGCGGAGACCUGGGCCGAUACUGACGCUGAGGUGCGAAAGCGUGGGGAGCAAACAGG
rnacentral:rRNA from 1 species